ACUGGGACUGAAUGGCCCUGUCUAGCACAACACAGAGCGGGUCACUGCAGGGGUCAGAAGACAGUGGACAACGCCUGCUGCGCCCCCAACAGUCCUCACUGCCUGUGACAGCACUGGAAGAGGGGGUUUGCUCUCCAAGGCUAGUUUAAGUCUGCUAUUUAUUUGGCUAUCUGGAAAGGGCACAGCACAGUCUUAGAACAAGUCAGCAUUGUAUUUAGUUCCUGAAUGCCUUGCUGUGAUGGUGAGCGAAUACACUUCUGCAGACAGCCUCCCAGAGCAGCAGUCCUGUGACGUGUUUAUAGGUACAGAGACUGAAACACUACGGAUUGUGGGCACCACAAAGGUCAAUAUUUGCUGCACUACAGAUAAGGCACUGUGGUGGGCACAUGGGUCCUUGCUGCUGGGGAACCAACAACUGGCAGGGAAAGCUGAGUCCCUAAGCAAGUGAUUAUAAAAUGACAUUUUAAAUAGAGUUUUCAUUACAAGUGAUGUAAGAGUUUUGUGUAAUUCUCUAUCUCACCCCACGCAACACUAUCACAACCCUGUUUGUGAAAACGCCCUCUCUCUUCCCUUCUUUGAGGGAUCAGAGGAGAUGGAGAGUCAUGCUUCCAGCUCAGCUAUGCAAGGAAUCACCACUCACUCUUCUCUUGCUCAGCUGUCACAUCGCUACAAGGUUGAGAGACACCGCCUGCAGUAGGUGCAGAGAAGUGGAGAGAGCCUCACUGCCUGUGUCUUCUCCUCUGUAGCCUGCAGGACAAUGCUUCCCUCACAUACAAAUGACAUCGGACACCACAGCAACAAUUUCUUCCAACUGAAUUCUAAUCCUCUGGGAGAAUUUAUGCCUUUUAAAAUAUAAGCAUUAAACCAAGAAAUUCUACGUAAAUUAAAAAAGGAAUAACAGCAUUUAAAACUGCCAAGGCUGUCAGGAAAAUAAGGGGUGACUGAAACACCCCUCAAGGUAAGACUGGUCAUGGUAAUUAGGGAGCAGAAUAUUUUGCCCACAUUAAAAAAGGAUGGUGUGCUUCAGUACACAUUGGAAGCAUCUAGAAAGAUAAGUGAGGAACUAAUAGUGGUUAUUUCUGUUAGUGGUUGUGAAUUUAUAUCUUUAUAUCUUUUGAUGUUGCUUGAAUUACUUCUGGUACUGUUUUGGAACCGAGGGUCUCGCACUGCUGUGUAUCCCCAGCUCUUAGCAAAACAGGAUCUUGGCCUUGAACUUCCAAUUCUCUUUCCUCAGUCUCCUGAGUAGCUGGGUUUCAGGCAUUUACACCAUAUCCGCCUGAAUAUGGAUUAUUUUUUUGAAUUUUUAAAAUGAAUCCUUUGAGUGUUUUAAUACAUUUUGAUUGACAAAAAGAAAAAUGAAAAGUAACAAUUGUGCUGAGGACAGUAGAAAGAAAACAGGCGUCAGGAGACUGAGAUCUUUUCCCAAAAUCAGCGGGAUAAAAAGCAAUGGUUAAAAUUUUUUGGUCAAAGGAAUUAAUUUGAUACAUUCAUUUGUCAAAACAAACUGUUGAUCUGACAAAUCAUUUUUCAAAAACACUACUGAAUUAGGGAAAGUGGAGAAAGAAAAUAAAUGUUUUCAUGAGGUGUGGGACUAAUAAACCAGUUUACAAGGCGGAGGACAGAGGAAAAGAGACGAAGACAAAGAGAUUCACAAUGAUCAAGAUGUGGAUGGAUCAGUCACCCCAAAAGAACACCACUAUUAUAUAUCAGAAAUAUACAGUAAGACAAAACGAAACCAAGCACCGUCUGUUUCCACAGCCAUCUUCACUAAGUUUCUUAUUCAUGUGGUUUAUUUGAAAUAUCACUCCAACGUUAACACUCUAAGGAGCAGAGCAAAACGACAUGUCGCCUUCACCCGUGGAAACCUGUAUUGCAUAAAUUUCAAAAGCUUUGUUUAAUGCAGAAACUAGUUAAUAUAGAGAAUGUAGAAUCGGAAGAUGAUGGAUUUGCACAAGGCCUCAAGCUACUCAAGUGACAAGUUUUGUGCUUAAGACAGAUUUCUUCAUGAGGAUGCCACAUCACAAGGAGCCAGUUUUUUAAAAAAUUGAUUUUUGAGGAAAACGUAAUUCAGAAACACAUAACACUGCUUUAAGAUGUCGACUCAAGCCAGUCUUGGUGGCUUACAGCUGUAAUCCUAGAUACUCAGGAGACUGAGGCAGAAGGACCACACCUUUGAAACAAGCCUGGGCAACUUUAGCCAAGUUCCUAUCUCAAAAUAAAACUAGCAAUCAAAAGCUGGGGAUGUACCUCAGUGUUAUGAAGUUCUUGCUUCCAUGCACAAGGCCCUGGGUUCAGUAAAAAUUCUCGUAUAUGACUCUCCAAUUAGCAACUGAACGAGGCAGAGAUGAACUAGACUAUGGCAACUGGGGAAGACGGCACACCAGGAUGGAGCCGUGGCUACAAAGGGCCAGUGGUGGGCUGCUGCAGGCCCAAUGGAGAGGCAGAGGACAGGUCUCCAGCAAUGCAUGUCACACAGUGACAACACAGAAGGGAAACAGAGGAGAGUAAUCUAAAAAAAUUCGCUAAGAGGUAUCAGAGAUGCAUUAAUUUAAAAACCUGUAGAAGAAAGCAGAAAAGAAAGCCAGAAGGAUGCAACAACAGUCCCUUAUUUUGUAGUGUCGCCUGAGGCUACCAAAGGCUUUUACUGAUUUCGUUCUCAAGAAAAGUUCUUUUUUCUGUCAAGUACUUAAUUUACUGAUCAAAUUAUAAGUCAAAUAAUAAAAUGGUACCAGUCUGAAUUUAUUCACAUUUAUACUAACCAAAGCUCAGUAAUGCUUGAGGAGAGCCAGGUGUAAUAAAAAGGCACCUCGAAGGUCAAGUUUUGGAAUUUUUACCCAGCAAGUAAUAAAUUACACUUAGUAAUUCACAUGUCCUCCCACCCUGAUCCCAGCACAGGCCAACAACACAGGCCAACUUCACGUAUCUAAUUUCUGACACAGUAUUUUGGAAUUUGAAUUUUGAGACUAAGUUACAAGAAUUAAAAAAUAUAGGUUCAAUGGUCCACAUAUGACACUCAAGGUAGGAGUCCAUUAUUGCAAGGGAGUUUUAAACAAGGAGUCCUACAGGGAGAGUAGAAAUCUUGCAGCUCUAGAAAUCGGUAACACUGACAUCAUUAUAGGAAAGACAUGUGACUUAAUGAGAUUUGCCAGGUCCAAGCACAAACACUGCCAGCUGGAUCACUACACUGACAGUAUUCAGUGCUUCAAAGGGGAGCCACAUGCUUCAGCAUGCCACAAGAAUUACUUGCACUGUAAGAAAUAGUACAAAAUUGGCCCAAAACAUCCAGUAGCUUACUUUCUUCUUGCUCUGACUGUAGAAUAAGACACCACUUUAAUGUGGGCUACUGGGAAAUGUCCCACCAGGAAUGAACCUACUAUGUGGGAAGUGAAUCUAAGAAAGCUUCUUGUCAGACACAGGUGCACAGAACUGUGUGUCCUGAAUCAGUAGUUAUCAAAACUUAGUGUGCUAGUUAAAGACACUGAGUUCUUCUACCUGCUCCCAAAGCUUUUAGUUCAGCUGAGUCUUGGGAGGAUCUCAGCCUGCAUUUUAAAUGAAUCCUUUGAGUAUUUUAAUACAGGUUGUUCAUGCUCCAUACUUCAAGAAACACUGAUGUUAAAGGUAUGAGAAAUCACAAAGGAGACUUUUUCUAUAGUAUGAGUCCACUGGGCAGUGUGCCUCUGCCCCAAGAGGGUAAAUUACUAGCCACUGCAUCAAUCACCUAUUAAUGAAAAUUUAACAAGGAAAACUCAAUGUAUGUAAGUCAUUUAUUAUAAUGAAGUUUUUGUAUGCUUCUCAAAAAGGGGUCAUCUUCUGAACCACUCACUCACUGGGUAACACGGUCUAGUCCCUAUUAGGAGAGCGAUGAAGGGAAACAAGAAAAUCAGUAACAAAGGCAAAAGAUAACCACCCACUUAUAAUCUACUAAUGUAAAAAUAUACACAAAGGGCACUGAAGACCCAAUCAGUUAAUUAACUCCCUAUCCUCAAUUCUCCUAUAUGAAACUACUACUGAAUUAACUUAUCCUUAAACAUCAGUUAUUCAAAUCACUUUCAGCUUCAGAACCUACACCGAGUGCUUCUUCUCUGCAUAUGGGCACUAGGGAUGACUCAGCUCCCCACGUUAUUCCAGUCUCAACCCAUCAAAUUUUGUUACCUAUUCCUAGUAAAAAUCUGCCAGCUCCUGGCAGAUGAGGUUCCCACUUUGCCAACCUCUGUACUGAAGUUAUACCAUGCUCUAGUUGGUUUCCUACUUGGUCAGGACUCACUGACCCCCAUUCCAAUCUGGAAUUCCUUUCACCCAUUCUCUGUCUUCAAGAGAGUCCCCAAGGCAAAACCCAAGCUCAUUUUCACACUAGCAUUCCUUUUCUCAUUGCCUGUAGCAAGCAUUUCAAAUCCUCGUCAAAUAUGGAAGCACUGGACUACGUUCAACUAUCUGUUCUGUCUCACCAUUCUUAAUCUUUUUCACCUCCAACAACUUUCCAAGUCCAAGGCCAUGACAUUCACAGAAUUUUCUAGUACCUCCUCCCUACCUGGUCUAGUUGAUCAACAGCUACCACAGCUUAGGUAUUUAAUUAUCAGCAAAUUAUAUCUCAACAGAUAACUAUAAAUUAAUCCAUGAAACAAAUAUCUGAUAAACAUCAUAACUUUUCCUCUGUAUCAGGGCUGCCCCAGGUCAGCUGCCUCUGUUCUCAACUAAUCCUUCAUGUCAAUCCAUAAAAACAAAACUGUGAAUUCUCUCCCCGCUACCAGCAUCUAGAGAGCUUCUUUAUCACAGAUUCUGAAAGGUAAUCAGAACAUUUGCUGCUUGCACGUCACAGGGACUGGUAUUGUCCAGACUAAAAGGCCUCAGUCUUCUACUGCAUGACACUAAGCUCCUGAGACUAAGGUACAGUGUAGAGUUUAUUUCCUGUGUUCUAUUUAGUACUGGUAGAUGGAAUACUAGACUCCAAACUGAAGAUAUCACAUAAUCUUCCAUCAUUAAAGAUUUCUAUCUAUGAUUAUUCCUUACUGAAAAAAGGAUGGGACUAUAAACGGCAAAUAAAGAGUACCUAAGAAUAAACAAUUCUCACAAGACCUGGUAUUUAUGAUUUUUAAAAAAUCAUAGUAAAAUAUACAUGAUAUAACAUUUACUAUCUCAAUACAUUUAUUGUUAUAUUAAGAAAACUGUGUAAGUCAUGCCAUAAUAGCAGCUAAAAUAUGCCAUGUUUAGCUAACAAAAAACCAAAAACUAAAAAAAUCCUUGCUACUUAGUUUAUUUAGCUAACUCCUGAAUUUGAAGCUUAUUGCUAUUAAAUACCUUUUUUACACUAUAAACAUUUUAUUGGUGAAAAAAACAAUUGUUUUACUGUUUAUAUCACUUGUAUUUCAGGUAGUGAAAUAAAAUACUGAAUAUUACACUUUCUAGUUACACUUUCUUAUAAAUGGCUCCAAACAAUAACAGCAGCUAAUUUCUAUAUAGAACGUGUUAUGUAUCAAGCGCUUGUUAGAUGCUUUACAUAUAUUAGUUUUUCUUGAGGUAUAAAUUCAUAUAUCAUAGUCACCCUUUUCAAGUGUAAUUUUAAGAAGAUUCCACAAAGUUGCGCAACUGUAACCAUUACCUAACUGCAGGUCAUUUUCAUCACCCCAAAAGAAAAUCUAUACUUAUAAGCAGUCACUAUUCUCCCUUGCACUCCUGCCUUCCCAAGUCUCUGGCAGCCACUAACCUAAUUUUUGUCUCUGUAGAUAUGCCUACUAUGCAUAUUCCAUAUGAAUAAAUCAUACAAUUUAUACUC